rnacentral:rRNA from 1 species
CUCCGCUGACGACCGGCGCACGGGUGCGUAACGCGUAUACAAUCUGCCUUGCACUAAGGGAUAGCCCAGAGAAAUUUGGAUUAAUACCUUAUAGUUUAUUAGAAUGGCAUCAUUUUAAUAAUAAAGAUUACGGUGUAAGAUGAGUAUGCGUCCCAUUAGUUUGUUGGUAAGGUAACGGCUUACCAAGACUACGAUGGGUAGGGGCCCUGAGAGGGGGAUCCCCCACACUGGUACUGAGACACGGACCAGACUCCUACGGGAGGCAGCAGUGAGGAAUAUUGGACAAUGGGCGAGAGCCUGAUCCAGCCAUGCCGCGUGCAGGAAGACGGUCCUAUGGAUUGUAAACUGCUUUUAUACAGGAAGAAUAAGGACUACGUGUAGUCUGGUGACGGUACUGUAAGAAUAAGGACCGGCUAACUCCGUGCCAGCAGCCGCGGUAAUACGGAGGGUCCGAGCGUUAUCCGGAAUUAUUGGGUUUAAAGGGUCCGUAGGCGGGCUAUUAAGUCAGGGGUGAAAGUUUGCAGCUCAACUGUAGAAUUGCCUUUGAUACUGAUAGUCUUGAAUUAUUGUGAAGUGGUUAGAAUAUGUAGUGUAGCGGUGAAAUGCAUAGAUAUUACAUAGAAUACCGAUUGCGAAGGCAGAUCACUAACAAUACAUUGACGCUGAUGGACGAAAGCGUGGGUAGCGAACAGGAUUAGAUACCCUGGUAGUCCACGCCGUAAACGAUGGAUACUAGCUGUUCGGUUUUCGGACUGAGCGGCCAAGCGAAAGUGAUAAGUAUCCCACCUGGGGAGUACGUUCGCAAGAAUGAAACUCAAAGGAAUUGACGGGGGCCCGCACAAGCGGUGGAGCAUGUGGUUUAAUUCGAUGA